rnacentral:rRNA from 1 species
GCCUACAGCCACGCCACCCUGAACAUGCCCGAUCCCGUCUGAGCUCGGAAGCUAAGCAGAGUUGGGCCUGGUUAGUACUUGGAUGGGAGACCACCUAGGAAGACCAGGUGCUGUAGGCA